rnacentral:rRNA from 1 species
UACGUAGGGACCAAGCGUUGUUCGGAUUUACUGGGCGUAAAGGGCGCGUAGGCGGCGUGACAAGUCACUUGUGAAAUCUCCGGGCUUAACUCGGAACGGCCAAGUGAUACUGUCGUGCUAGAGUGCAGAAGGGGCAAUCGGAAUUCUUGGUGUAGCGGUGAAAUGCGUAGAUAUCAAGAGGAACACCUGAGGUGAAGACGGGUUGCUGGGCUGACACUGACGCUGACAGCGCGAAAGCUAGGGGAGCGAACGGG